rnacentral:rRNA from 1 species
GAUGAACGCUAGCUACAGGCUUAACACAUGCAAGUCGAGGGACCGGCGCAGGUGUGAGUAACACGUAUCCAACCUGCCCUUUACUCGGGGAUAGCCUUUCGAAAGAAAGAUUAAUACCCGAUAUAAAGGAUGGGGAUGCGUUCCAUUAGAUUGUUGGUGAGGUAACGGCUUACCAAGCCUUCGAUGGCUAGGGGUUCUGAGAGGAAGGCACCCCAGAAUGGAGCUAAGACACGGACCCAAAUCCGACGGGAUGCAGGAGUGUGUAAUAUUGGUCAAUGGGGGCUAGCCUGACCCAGCCAAGUAGCGGAAAGAAGGAAGGCUUAUGGGUCGUAAACUAGUUAUAUAUAAGAAUAUGUAUUAUAUGAAUAAGGAUCGGCUAACUCCGUGCCAGCAGCCGCGGUAAUAC